GACGAACGUUGGCGGCGCGCCUAAAACAUGCAAGUCGAACGAGAAGCCCGGGCUUGCCCGGGUGGACAGUGGCGAACGGGUGAGUAACACGUGAGGAACCUGCCCCGAAGACCGGGACAACACCGGGAAACCGGUGCUAAUACCGGAUGCCUUCACCGGAUCGCAUGGUCUGGUGAAGAAAUGGAUUCCGCUUCGGGCUGGCCUCGCGGCCUAUCAGCUUGUUGGUGAGGUAAUGGCUCACCAAGGCGACGACGGGUAGCUGGUCUGAGAAGAUGUCCGGCCACACUGGGACUUAGACACGGCCCAGACUCCUUCGGGAGGCAGCAGUUAGUAAGCUUGCGCAAUGGGCGAAAGCCUGACGCAGCGACGCCGCGUGCGGGAUGAAGGCCUUCGGGUUGUAAACCGCUUUCAGCAGGGACGAAAUUGACGGUACCUGCAGAAGAAGCCCCGGCCAACUACGUGCCAGCCGCCGCAGUAA
rnacentral:rRNA from 1 species